rnacentral:rRNA from 1 species
CCAGACUCCUACGGGAGGCAGCAGUAGGGAAUCUUCGGCAAUGGACGAAAGUCUGACCGAGCAACGCCGCGUGAGUGAAGAAGGUUUUCGGAUCGUAAAACUCUGUUGGUAGAGAAGAACGUUGGUGAGAGUGGAAAGCUCAUCAAGUGACGGUAACUACCCAGAAAGGGACGGCUAACUACGUGCCAGCAGCCGCGGUAAUACGUAGGUCCCGAGCGUUGUCCGGAUUUAUUGGGCGUAAAGCGAGCGCAGGUGGUUUAUUAAGUCUGGUGUAAAAGGCAGUGGCUCAACCAUUGUAUGCAUUGGAAACUGGUAGACUUGAGUGCAGGAGAGGAGAGUGGAAUUCCAUGUGUAGCGGUGAAAUGCGUAGAUAUAUGGAGGAACACCGGUGGCGAAAGCGGCUCUCUGGCCUGUAACUGACACUGAGGCUCGAAAGCGUGGGGAGCAAACAGGAUUAGAUACCCUGGUAGUCCACGCCGUAAACGAUGAGUGCUAGUUGUUUGGGGCUAUCCAGCCCUAAGUGACGCAGCAAACGCAUUAAGCACUCCGCCUGGGGAGUACGACCGCAAGGUUGAAACUCAAAGGAAUUGACGGGGGCCCGCACAAG